rnacentral:rRNA from 1 species
UUUAUAAAGAGUUUGAUCCUGGCUCAGGACGAACGCUGGCGGCGCGCCUAACACAUGCAAGUCGAACGGAGCUUAGAGAGCUUGCUUUUUAAGCUUAGUGGCGAACGGGUGAGUAACGCGUGAGUAACCUGCCCUAGAGUGGGGGACAACAGUUGGAAACGACUGCUAAUACCGCAUAAGCCCACGGUGCCGCAUGACACUGAGGGAAAAGGAUUUAUUCGCUUUAGGAUGGACUCGCGUCCAAUUAGCUAGUUGGUGAGGUAACGGCCCACCAAGGCGACGAUUGGUAGCCGGACUGAGAGGUUGAACGGCCACAUUGGGACUGAGACACGGCCCAGACUCCUACGGGAGGCAGCAGUGGGGGAUAUUGCACAAUGGGGGAAACCCUGAU